rnacentral:rRNA from 1 species
UACAGAGGUCUCGAGCGUUAGGCGGAAUCACUGGGCUUAAAGCGUGUGUAGGCGGAUCGUUAAGUACCUUGUGAAAUCCCACGGCUUAACCGUGGAACUGCUUGGUAUACUGGCGGUCUUGAGCCAGCUAGGGGCUACCGGAACAAAUGGUGGAGCGGUGAAAUGCGUAGAUAUCAUUUGGAACGCCAUGGUGAAAACAGGUAGCUGGGGCUGUGCUGACGCUGAGACACGGAAAGCCAGGGGAGCAAACGGG